UGGGGAAUUUUGGACAAUGGGCGAAAGCCUGAUCCAGCCAUGCCGCGUGAGUGAAGAAGGCCUUCGGGUUGUAAAGCUCUUUUAGUCGGAAAGAAAGAGUUGCAAUGAAUAAUUGUGAUUUAUGACGGUACCGACAGAAAAAGCACCGGCUAACUACGUGCCAGCAGCCGCGGUAAUACGUAGGGUGCGAGCGUUAAUCGGAAUUACUGGGCGUAAAGCGUGCGCAGGCGGUUAUGCAAGACAGAUGUGAAAUCCCCGGGCUUAACCUGGGAAUUGCGUUUGAAACUGCAAGACUAGAGUGCAGCAGAGGGGAGUGGAAUUCCAUGUGUAGCAGUGAAAUGCGUAGAGAUGUGGAAGAACACCGAUGGCGAAGGCAGCUCCCUGGGUUGACACUGACGCUCAUGCACGAAAGCGUGGGGAGCAAACA
rnacentral:rRNA from 1 species